rnacentral:tRNA from 1 species
GCCGCCGUAGCCAAGAGGCCAAAAGCGAUCGACUUAAGAUCGGUUUUUCCCUGCCAGGAAAUCGAGGGUUCAAAUCCCUCCGGCGGCG